GAUGAACGCUGGCGGCGUGCCUAAUACAUGCAAGUCGAGCGAACGGACGAGAAGCUUGCUUCUCUGAUGUUAGCGGCGGACGGGUGAGUAACACGUGGAUAACCUACCUAUAAGACUGGGAUAACUUCGGGAAACCGGAGCUAAUACCGGAUAAUAUUUUGAACCGCAUGGUUCAAAAGUGAAAGACGGUCUUGCUGUCACUUAUAGAUGGAUCCGCGCUGCAUUAGCUAGUUGGUAAGGUAACGGCUUACCAAGGCAACGAUGCAUAGCCGACCUGAGAGGGUGAUCGGCCACACUGGAACUGAGACACGUUCCAGACUCCUACGUGAGGCAGCAGUAGGGAAUCUUCCGCAAUGGGCGAAAGCCUGACGGAGCACCGCCGCGUGUGUGAUGAAGGUCUUCGGAUCGUAAAACUCUGUUAUUAGGGAAGAACAUAUGUGUAAGUAACUGUGCACAUCUUGACGUUACCUAAUCAGAAAGCCACGGCUAACUACGUG
rnacentral:rRNA from 1 species